CGCUGGCGGCGUGCUUAACACAUGCAAGUCGAGCGAUGAAGUUUCCUUCGGGAAACGGAUUAGCGGCGGACGGGUGAGUAACACGUGGGUAACCUGCCUCAUAGAGUGGAAUAGCCUUCCGAAAGGAAGAUUAAUACCGCAUAACGUUGAAAGAUGGCAUCAUCAUUCAACCAAAGGAGCAAUCCGCUAUGAGAUGGACCCGCGGCGCAUUAGCUAGUUGGUGGGGUAACGGCCUACCAAGGCGACGAUGCGUAGCCGACCUGAGAGGGUGAUCGGCCACAUUGGGACUGAGACACGGCCCAGACUCCUACGGGAGGCAGCAGUGGGGAAUAUUGCACAAUGGGGGAAACCCUGAUGCAGCAACGCCGCGUGAGUGAUGAAGGUUUUCGGAUCGUAAAGCUCUGUCUUUGGGGAAGAUAAUGACGGUACCCAAGGAGGAAGCCACGGCUAACUACGUGCCAGCAGCCGCGGUAAUACGUAGGUGGCGAGCGUUAUCCGGAUUUACUGGGCGUAAAGGGAGCGUAGGCGGAUGAUUAAGUGGGAUGUGAAAUACCCGGGCUCAACUUGGGUGCUGCAUUCCAAACUGGUUAUCUAGAGUGCAGGAGAGGAGAGUGGAAUUCCUAGUGUAGCGGUGAAAUGCGUAGAGAUUAGGAAGAACACCAGUGGCGAAGGCGACUCUCUGGACUGUAACUGACGCUGAGGCUCGAAAGCGUGGGGAGCAAACAGGAUUAGAUACCCUGGUAGUCCACGCCAUAAACGAUGAAUACUAGGUGUGGGGGUUUCAACACCUCCGUGCCGCCGCUAACGCAUUAAGUAUUCCGCCUGGGGAGUACGGUCGCAAGAUUAAAACUCAAAGGAAUUGACGGGGACCCGCACAAGUAGCGGAGCAUGUGGUUUAAUUCGAAGCAACGCGAAGAACCUUACCUACACUUGACAUCCCUUGCAUUACUCUUAAUCGAGGAAAUCCCUUCGGGGACAAGGUGACAGGUGGUGCAUGGUUGUCGUCAGCUCGUGUCGUGAGAUGUUGGGUUAAGUCCCGCAACGAGCGCAACCCUUGUCGUUAGUUACUAUCAUUAAGUUGAGGACUCUAGCGAGACUGCCUGGGUUAACCAGGAGGAAGGUGGGGAUGACGUCAAAUCAUCAUGCCCCUUAUGUGUAGGGCUACACACGUGCUACAAUGGCUGGUACAGAGAGAUGCAAUACCGCGAGGUGGAGCCAAACUUUAAAACCAGUCUCAGUUCGGAUUGUAGGCUGAAACUCGCCUACAUGAAGCUGGAGUUACUAGUAAUCGCGAAUCAGAAUGUCGCGGUGAAUACGUUCCCGGGUCUUGUACACACCGCCCGUCACACCAUGAGAGUUGGCAAUACCCGAAGUCCGUGAGCUAACCGCAAGGAGGCAGCGGCCGAAGGUAGGGUCAGCGAU
rnacentral:rRNA from 1 species